GACAUCUGCCAUACCACCUUGAACACACCCGAUCUUGUCUGAUCUCGGGAGCUAAGCAGGGUCAGGUCUGCUUAGUAGUUGGAUGGGAGACUGCCUGGGACUAUUUAGCACUUUAAAAGUCC
rnacentral:rRNA from 1 species